CUCACCCAACGUCAUAUUUUUAAUAAUUUGUAAAUUUUCUGUGUUCAUUUUUACAAGUAGAAAUAAAUUCAAUUCACUGUAAUUAUUUUUACCGACUUAUCCAUUUACAACACUUUGGUAUACCUGUCACUAUUCUGGUCAGUCAACUUCAACAGUACUUCGGAUCAUACAAGAUACAGUUUUCUGCCGGUCGCGUUGAAACAUGUUGGGAGACAGCUUAAAACUGCGUUUUCGAAUGAUGAAAGGGAACACAAAUUGAUAGAUUACAUUGAAACUACAUAAUAUGUCGCACUGCAGGGAAAUCAGUCAUCAGAGAGACUCCGAGAAUGGAACCACCAAUUAGUUCCUCCCCCGUUAUAUUUAACAGAAUUAUGGUCAACAGUUCGAUGGGUUGAAUUUGUAAUGCAGGAAAACACUAUAUAGCACUAGCAGUGGAUAAUCUGCAGGGCAUAGUCAUCGUUUGAAUAGAUCACCGGACGUAAAAUAAUACAAUUAUGAACUUCCAGAACACAUUGAACCAUUUUGAGUAG